UGAGUUCUAUGCUUCGCGCGCUAAGCAGGGACCAUGGCUUUGAUCUCUUUCUCUCCGAAUUACAGCGAUUAGCAUUCAAAUUAGUCAGGUACCUGAAGUAGCGCGCGUGGAUUAGAAG
rnacentral:pre_miRNA from 1 species